GCUUUUGUGAUGUAAUGGUCAGCACACUCGGCGCGUAUUCGAAAGGUCCGAGGUUCGAGUCCUGGCGAGGGCA
rnacentral:tRNA from 1 species